rnacentral:rRNA from 1 species
GACGAACGCUGGCGGCGUGCCUAAUACAUGCAAGUAGAACGCUGAAGGAGGAGCUUGCUUCUCUGGAUGAGUUGCGAACGGGUGAGUAACGCGUAGGUAACCUGCCUGGUAGCGGGGGAUAACUAUUGGAAACGAUAGCUAAUACCGCAUAAUAGUAGAUGUUGCAUGACAUUUGCUUAAAAGUUGCAAUUGCAUCCCUACCAGAUAGACCUGCGUUGUAUUAGCUAGUUGGUGGGGUAACGGCUCCCCAAGGCGACGAUACAUAGCCGACCUGAGAGGGUGAUCGGCCACACUGGGACUGAGACACGGCCCAGACUCCUACGGGAGGCAGCAGUAGGGAAUCUUCGGCAAUGGACGGAAGUCUGACCGAGCAACGCCGCGUGAGUGAAGAAGGUUUUCGGAUCGUAAAGCUCUGUUGUAAGAGAAGAACGAGUGUGAGAGUGGAAAGUUCACACUGUGACGGUAUCUUACCAGAAAGAGACGGCUAACUACGUG